CGGGUGAGUAACGCGUGGAUAACCUGCCUUACACUGGGGGAUAACACUUAGAAAUAGGUGCUAAUACCGCAUAAGCGCACAGAGCCGCAUGGCUCAGUGUGAAAAACUCCGGUGGUGUAAGAUGGAUCCGCGUCUGAUUAGCUGGUUGGCGGGGUAGAAGCCCACCAAGGCGACGAUCAGUAGCCGGCCUGAGACGGUGAACGGCCACAUUGGGACUGAGACACGGCCCAAACUCCUACGGAAGGCAGCAG
rnacentral:rRNA from 1 species